rnacentral:snoRNA from 1 species
GAGUAAAAUAAUGGAAAUUCAUCUGAAGGGAUUGGGACUUGAUGUAUGGAAUUUAGUGAUCACUGAUUACUC